GAUGAAUGCUGGCGGCGUGCCUGAGAUAUGCAAGUCGAACGGGAACUUGUCUGAAGGACAAGAAUUUUCAAUUCUCAAUUUUUAAUUUUCAAAUUCAUUUUUGUAAAUUGGAUUUUGUACAUUGGAGCUUCUCGUCCUGAGGACAAGUUUCAGUGGCGGACGGCUGAGUAAUAAGUAAGAAUUUUCCCCAAAGACUCACAUAGCUCACCGAAAGGUGGGGUAAUUUGAGAUAGUCCCCUUCGCAAGAAGGGGUAAAGACGCAAGUCGCUUUGGGAUAAGCUUGCUUCCUAUCAGGUAGUUGGUGGGGUAAUAGCCUACCAAGCCUACGACGGGUAGUUGGUCUCAUGAGGAUGAUCAACCAGAGGGGGACUGAGACACGGCCCCCACUCCUACGGGAGGCAGCAAUCAGGAAUAGUCGGCAAUGGACGAAAGUCUGACCGCGCGACGCCGCGUGUGGGAUGAAGCUUCACAAGAGUGUAAACCACUGUGGUAGGGGAAGAGAAAGGACGGUACCCUACUAGAAAGUAGCCGCUAACUGCGUGCCAGAAGCGUCGGUAAUACGUGGGCUACAAGCAUUAUCCGGUGUCAUUGGGCGUAAAGGGUCGUGUAGGCGGAUUGAUAAGUCACUUUUCAAAUCUUCGGGCUUAACUCGAAAACUGGGAGUGAUACUGUUGGUCUAGAAGUUUCUUUAGGGAGAACGGAACUGUGGGAGGAGUAGUGAAAUGCGUUGAUACCCACGGGAACACCAGUGGCGAAGGCGGUUCUCUAGAAGAAUCUUGACGCUGAGACACGAAAGUUAGGGGAGCGAAGCAGAUUAGAGACCUGCGUAGUCCUAACUGUAAACGAAUGUAUGCUGGCUGCAUGAUUUCGGUUUCACCGAAAGUUCAAAUGGCAAAUUUCAAAUUUCAAAAUGAACAAGACAAGAUAGUAAUCAAGUCUAUUUAUUAUUUUCACCCUUUGAACUUUGCACUUUAAAUUUUGAAUUUUAGGCGAAGCCGAUCUCGUGUGGCGAAGGUAACCCGUUAAGCAUACCGCCUGGGGAGUACGGCCGCAAGGUUGAAACUCAAAGGAAUUGGCGGGGAGGCACACAACCAGAGGAACAUGUGGUUUAAUUCGAUACGAAACGAAGAACCUUACCAGGGCUUGACAUGCUACCGUUUUAGUCCGCUGGAAACAGUGGAUGAUCCGCAAGGAUGGUAGUGCCGGUGAUGCAUGGCUGUCGUCAGUUCGUUCCGUGAGGAGUGCCCUUAAGUGGGACAACGAACGCAACCCCUGUCGUCUGUUACAAGUGUCAGACGAGACCGCCCCCUCUCUUUUCUUCAUAAUUAUUUAUGAUGAGGAGUGAGGGGGAGGAAGGCGGGGCAGACGUCAAGUCAGCACGUCCCUUAUGUCCUGGGCUACACACAUGUUACAAUGAGCUUUAACAACGAGUCUUGCGAGCCGGCGACGGCAAGCAAAUCUCUGAAAUGAGCUCUCAGUGGGGAUUGGAGUCUGCAACUCGACUCCAUGAACUUGGAUUUGGUAGUAAUCGCGGGUCAGCUAUACCGCGGUGAAUACGUUCUUGCCUCUUGCACACACCGCCCGUCAAACCAACAAAGUUGGUAUCAUGUGAACUGCGGCUUUGCCGUGGGAGCAUAGUGCUAGCGAUGAGGGUU
rnacentral:rRNA from 1 species